GCACAAGCGGUGAGGAUGUGGUUUAAUUCGACGCAACGCGAAGAACCUUACCUAGGCUUGACAUGCUGGCGAAAACCGCGGAAACACGGUCCUCCCGCAAGGGACGCUAGUACAGGUUGGUGCAUGGCUGUCGUCAGCUCGUGUCGUGAGAUGUUCGGUUAAGUCCGCUAACGAGCGCAACCCUCGUCGUAUGUUAUAUGUGUCAUACGAGACUGCCGGUAAAAGCCGGAGGAAGGUGAGGAUGAUGUCAAGUCAGCAUGACCUUUAUAUCCAGGGCUACACACACGCUACAAUGGUCUGUACAAUGGGUAGCCAAGCCGCGAGGCGGAGCCAAUCCUGAAAGCAGGCCUCAGUUCAGAUUGCAGUCUGCAACUCGACUGCAUGAAGCCGGAGUUGCUAGUAACCGCAGGUCAGCAAUACUGCGGUGAAUACGUUCCCGGGUCUU
rnacentral:rRNA from 1 species